AUGGACACUGGCCACCAGAGGGAACAUGGACACUGGCCACCAGAGGGAACAUGGACACUGGCCACCAGAGGGAACAUGGACACUGGCCACCAGAGGGUACAUGGACACUGGCCACCAGAGGGAACAUGGACACUGGCCACCAGAGGGUACAUGGACACUGGCCACCAGAGGGAACAUGGACACUGGCCACCAGAGGGUACAUGGACACUGGCCACCAGAGGGAGCAUGGACACUGGCCACCAGAGGGAGCAUGGACACUGGCCACGAGAGGGAAUAUGGACACUGGCCACGAGAGGGAACAUGGACACUGGCCACCAGAGGGAACAUGGACACUGGCCACCAGAGAGAACAUGGACACUGGCCACCAGUGGGGACAUGGACACUGGCCACCAGAGAGAACAUGGACACUGGCCACCAGAGAGAACAUGGACACUGGCCACCAGAGAGAACAUGGACACUGGCCACCAGAGAGAACAUGGACACUGGCCACCAGAGGGUACAUGGACACUGGCCACGAGAGGGAACAUGGACACUGGCCACCAGAGGGAACAUGGACACUGGCCACCAGAGAGAACAUGGACACUGGCCACCAGUGGGGACAUGGACAGUGGCCACCAGAGAGAACAUGGACACUGGCCACCAGUGGGGACAUGGACACUGGCCACCAGAGAGAACAUGGACACUGGCCACCAGAGAGAACAUGGACAGUGGCCACCAGAGAGAACAUGGACAGUGGCUACCAGAGAGAAAAUGGACACUGGCCACCAGUGGGGACAUGGACACUGGCCACCAGAGAGAACAUGGACACUGGCCACCAGAGGGAACAUGGACAGUGGCCACCAGAGAGAACAUGGACAGUGGCCACCAGAGGGAACAUGGCCAGUGGCCACCAGAGGGAACAUGGACACUGGCCACGAGAGGGAACAUGGACACUGGCCACGAGAGAGAACAUGGACACUGGCCACCAGAGAGAACAUGGACAAUUCCCUACAGUUACACCUCUCAGUUCCUUUCUCUCUCAGUUCCUCUCUGUCUCAGUUCCUCUCUGUCUCAGUUCCUUUCUCUCUCAGUUCCUCUCUGUCUCAGUUCCUCUCUGUCUCAGUUCCUCUCUGUCUCAGUUCCUCUCUGUCUCAGGUCCUCUGUCUCAGUUCCUCUCUGUCUCAGUUCCUCUCUGUCUCAGUUCCUCUCUGUCUCAGUUCCUCUCUGUCUCAGUUCCUCUCUGUCUCAGUUCCUUUCUCUCUCAGUUCCUCUCUGUCUCAGUUCCUCUCUGUCUCAGUUCCUCUCUGUCUCAGGUCCUCUGUCUCAGUUCCUCUCUGUCUCAGGUCCUCUGUCUCAGUUCCUCUCUGUCUCAGUUCCUCUCUGUCUCAGUUCCUCUCUGUCUCAGUUCCUCUCUGUCUCAGGUCCUCUGUGGUAAAUGAAGAAGAAAUAAGAGCGUAUGACUACUACUUGACAACAAAACCAAACCAGUUUCACUCAACAACAACGUAA
rnacentral:lncRNA from 1 species